AGAAUUAUUUGGGAUAUAAAGCCUUGUGAACUUUUUGUAGGUCAGUUUUGGAAGUUUAUUUGGAAGAAUUAUCCAGUAAUAGAAUUCCAAUCCACAGAAGGCACUGCUGGCAAGAUAAGCAGCACAGGAACGUGUUUGCCAGGGAGAUCAUCAUGCUGUCAGAAGGCAUUAAAAGAGUCUAAGCAGCUUCAGAGCCUGCUAUGCAAGACAAGAUGUGCACACAAAGUCACUGCUUCUUCUCGGUGAUUAGACCAUUUCCUAUCAGAUGAAGAAAUUCCAAAUCAAAAACUUCCAAGAAAAGUAUCUCCAAGACAUACCACUAGUUCAACAUGUG
rnacentral:lncRNA from 1 species